GACGAACGCUGGCGGCGUGCUUAACACAUGCAAGUCGAACGGAAAGGCCCUGCUUUUGUUGGGUGCUCGAGUGGCGAACGGGUGAGUAACACGUGAGUAACCUGCCCUUGACUUUGGGAUAACUUCAGGAAACUGGGGCUAAUACCGGAUAGGAGCUCCUGCUGCAUGGUGUGGGUUGGAAAGUUUCGGCGGUUGGGGAUGGACUCGCGGCUUAUCAGCUUGUUGGUGGGGUAGUGGCUUACCAAGGCUUUGACGGGUAGCCGGCCUGAGAGGGUGACCGGCCACAUUGGGACUGAGAUACGGCCCAGACUCCUACGGGAGGCAGCAGUGGGGAAUAUUGCACAAUGGGCGGAAGCCUGAUGCAGCAACGCCGCGUGCGGGAUGACGGCCUUCGGGUUGUAAACCGCUUUCGCCUGUGACGAAGCGUGAGUGACGGUAAUGGGUAAAGAAGCACCGGCUAACUACGUG
rnacentral:rRNA from 1 species